UACAGAGGGUGCAAGCGUUAAUCGGAAUUACUGGGCGUAAAGCGUGCGUAGACGGUUAUGUAAGUCAGGUGUGAAAGCCCCGGGCUCAACCUGGGAAUGGCAUUUGAGACUGCAUAGCUAGGGUGCGGAAGAGGGAAGCGGAAUUUCCGGUGUAGCGGUGAAAUGCGUAGAUAUACGGAAGGAACAUCAGUGGCGAAAGCGGCUUCCUGGUCCAGCACCGACGUCAGGCACGAAAGCGUGGGGAGCAAACAGG
rnacentral:rRNA from 1 species